CCGAUUAUGUAUUGGUGGGGUAACGGCCCACCAAGCCNAAGAUCGGUACGGGCCAUGAGAGUGGGANCCCGGANAUGGACACUGAGACACGGUUCCAGGCCCUACGGGGCGCAGCAGGCGCNAAACNUCCGCANUGCGGGCAACCGCGACGGGGGGACCCCCAGUGCCGUGGCAACGCCACGGCUUUUCCGGAGUGUAAAAAGCUCCGGGAAUAAGGGCUGGGCAAGGCCGGUGGCAGCCGCCGCGGUAAUACCGGCGGCCCAAGUGGUGGCCGCUAUUAUUGGGCCUAAAGCGUCCGUAUCCGGGCCCGUAAGUCCCUGGCGAAAUCCCACGGCUCAACCGUGGGGCUUGNUGGGGAUACUACGGACCUUGGGACCGGGAGAGGCNGGGGGUACCCCUGGGGUAGGGGUGAAAUCCUAUAAUCCCAGGGGGACCG
rnacentral:rRNA from 1 species